CCUACGGGGGGCUGCAGUCGAGAAUCUUCCGCAAUGGGCGAAAGCCUGACGGAGCGACGCCGCGUGCGGGAUGAAGGCCCUUGGGUUGUAAACCGCUGUCAGAGGGGAUGAAAUCAUGGUUGGCUAUCCUUCCAUGUUGACAGAGCCUCAAAGGAAGCACGGGCUAAGUACGUGCCAGCAGCCGCGGUAACACGUACUGUGCGAACGUUAUUCGGAAUCACUGGGCUUAAAGGGUACGUAGGCGGUUUAUCAAGUCAGGUGUGAAAUGCCUGAGCUCAACUGAGGCACUGCGCUUGAAACUGAUAAACUAGAGUAUUCCAGGGGUGUGCGGAACUGCCAGUGGAGCGGUGAAAUGCGUUGAUAUUGGCAGGAACACCGGAGGCGAAGGCGGCACACUGGGGGAUUACUGACGCUGAGGUACGAAAGCCAGGGUAGCGAAC
rnacentral:rRNA from 1 species